UCUAAACACUAUACAGUAGGUUGAGGUUGUCCCUCUCUAAACACUAUACAGUAGGUUGAGGUUGUCUCUCUCUAGUCUCUAAACACUAUACAGUAGGUUGAGGUUGUCCCUCUCUAGUCUCUAAACACUAUACAGUAGGUUGAGGUUGUCU